rnacentral:rRNA from 1 species
CCUACGGGUGGCUGCAGUGGGGAAUAUUGCACAAUGGGCGCAAGCCUGAUGCAGCCAUGCCGCGUGUGCGAAGAAGGCCUUCGGGUUGUAAAGCACUUUCAGCGGGGAGGAAGGCGGUGAGGUUAAUAACCUCAUCGAUUGACGUUACCCGCAGAAGAAGCACCGGCUAACUCCGUGCCAGCAGCCGCGGUAAUACGGAGGGUGCAAGCGUUAAUCGGAAUUACUGGGCGUAAAGCGCACGCAGGCGGUCUGUCAAGUCGGAUGUGAAAUCCCCGGGCUCAACCUGGGAACUGCAUUCGAAACUGGCAGGCUAGAGUCUUGUAGAGGGGGGUAGAAUUCCAGGUGUAGCGGUGAAAUGCGUAGAGAUCUGGAGGAAUACCGGUGGCGAAGGCGGCCCCCUGGACAAAGACUGACGCUCAGGUGCGAAAGCGUGGGAAGCAAACAGGAUUAGAUACCCCUGUAGUC